rnacentral:rRNA from 1 species
UUCGUAGGCGGUUUUGUUAGUCUGAUGUGAAAUCUCAGGGCUUAACCCUGAAACUGCAUUGGAUACUGCAGAACUAGAGUACUGGAGAGGUAAGCGGAAUUCCUGGUGUAGCGGUGGAAUGCGUAGAUAUCAGGAGGAACACCGAUGGCGAAAGCAGCUUACUGGACAGUUACUGACGCUCAGGAACGAAAGCUAGGGGAGCAAACA